rnacentral:tRNA from 1 species
GCAUCGAUGGUUCAGUGGUAAAAUGCUUGCCUGCCACGCAGGCGUCCCGGGUUCAAUUCCCGGCCGAUGCA